GACGAACGCUGGCGGCGUGCCUAAUACAUGCAAGUCGAGCGAAUGGAAGGGAGCUUGCUCCCUGAAGUUAGCGGCGGACGGGUGAGUAACACGUGGGCAACCUGCCUGUAAGACUGGGAUAACUUCGGGAAACCGGAGCUAAUACCGGAUACGUUCUUUCCUCGCAUGAGGAAAGAUGGAAAGAUGGUUUCGGCUAUCACUUACAGAUGGGCCCGCGGCGCAUUAGCUAGUUGGUGGGGUAAUGGCCCACCAAGGCGACGAUGCGUAGCCGACCUGAGAGGGUGAUCGGCCACACUGGGACUGAGACACGGCCCAGACUCCUACGGGAGGCAGCAGUAGGGAAUCUUCCGCAAUGGACGAAAGUCUGACGGAGCAACGCCGCGUGAGCGAAGAAGGCCUUCGGGUCGUAAAGCUCUGUUGUCAGGGAAGAACAAGUGCCAGAGUAACUGCUGGCACCUUGACGGUACCUGACCAGAAAGCCACGGCUAACUACGUGCCAGCCGCCGCAGUAA
rnacentral:rRNA from 1 species